GUGCUCCCUUCGGGCAGCAUAUAUACUAAAAUUGGAACAACCCAGAGAAGAUUAGCAUGGCCUCUGUGCAAUGAUGACUUGCAGAAUCCUGAAGCAGCCUACAUUUUU
rnacentral:snRNA from 10 species